GGGCUUUCCUGGGACUCUGAUGGCAAUUUGUGGGACUUCUCAGCCUCCGUAAUUGGUGAGCCAUAGCAGAUACUUCAAUGCUCCAGUGAUGUUGGACUUGGGCUAUGUGACUUGCCCUUAAUGAUGGAAUGUGGGUGGAAGUGAAAGUGUGUCAAUUCCCAGCUAUAAGCAUUGCAUGUUUCUGUUUACACCUUUGAAUGUAUGCCACCCUCCAUGAGAAGAACAAGCCACAGGUAACCACUGAUCUCAGAACAAAGAACCUUUGAAACAGACUUGAACUCAACCCACAGCCUAAAACAGAACCACACUAGCUGAACUGCAGAGCAAUGAGCCAGAAAUAAAUCAUUGUUA
rnacentral:lncRNA from 10 species